rnacentral:rRNA from 1 species
GACGAACCGUCCGAACGUUAUUCGGAAUCACUGGGCUUAAAGGGUGCGUAGGCGGCGCGGCAAGUUGGGUGUGAAAUCCCUCGGCUCAACCGAGGAACUGCGCCCAAAACUGCCGUGCUCGAGGGAGAUAGAGGUGAGCGGAACUUAGGGUGGAGCGGUGAAAUGCGUUGAUAUCCUAAGGAACACCGGUGGCGAAAGCGGCUCACUGGAUCUCUUCUGACGCUGAGGCACGAAAGCUAGGGUAGCGAACGGG